rnacentral:tRNA from 1 species
GUUUAUAUAGUUUAACAAAAACAUUACAUUUUCAUUGUAAAAUUAAAAUAUGAUUUUUAUAAAUA